CACCGUAUAGGAAUAUGGGUGAUGAAAGUGGCGCACGGGUGCGUUACGCGUAUGCAACCUACCUUCAUCAGGGGGAUAGCCUCUCGAAAGAGAGAUUAACACCGCAUAACAUAGUUGAACGGCAUCGUUUUACUAUCAAAUAUUUAUAGGAUGAAGAUGGGCAUGCGUGACAUUAGUUAGUUGGUGAGGUAACGGCUCACCAAGACCACGAUGUCUAGGGGAUCUGAGAGGAUGACCCCCCACACUGGUACUGAGACACGGACCAGACUCCUACGGGAGGCAGCAGUAAGGAAUAUUGGUCAAUGGGGGCAACCCUGAACCAGCCAUGCCGCGUGCAGGAAGACGGUGCUCUGCAUUGUAAACUGCUUUUAUACCAGAAUAAUUUCCCGAUCGUGAUCGGGAUUGAAUGUAUGGUAAGAAUAAGGAUCGGCUAACUCCGUGCCAGCAGCCGCGGUAAUACGGAGGAUCCAAGCGUUAUCCGGAUUUAUUGGGUUUAAAGGGUGCGUAGGCGGCUUUUUAAGUCAG
rnacentral:rRNA from 1 species